CUACGGAGGGUCCAAGCGUUAUCCGGAAUCAUUGGGUUUAAAGGGUGCGCAGGCGGUUUAUUAAGUCAGUGGUGAAAUCUCGGGGCUCAACCUCGAAACUGCCAUUGAUACUGAUAAACUUGAGUUCAGUCGGAGUAGGCGGAAUGUGUAGUGUAGCGGUGAAAUGCUUAGAUAUUACACAGAACACCGAUAGCGAAGGCAGCUUACUAAACUGAUACUGACGCUGAGGCACGAAAGCGUGGGGAGCGAACAGGAUUAGAUACCCUAGUAGUCC
rnacentral:rRNA from 1 species